rnacentral:rRNA from 1 species
UACGUAGGGGGCGAGCGUUGUCCGGAUUUAUUGGGCGUAAAGAGCGUGUAGGCGGCCAGGUAGGUCUGCUGUGAAAACUCGAGGCUCAACCUCGAGACGUCGGCGGAAACCAUUUGGCUAGAGUCCGGAAGAGGAGAGUGGAAUUCCUGGUGUAGCGGUGAAAUGCGCAGAUAUCAGGAAGAACACCAAUGGCGAAAGCAGCUCUCUGGGACGGUACUGACGCUGAGACGCGAAAGCGUGGGGAGCGAACAGG